rnacentral:rRNA from 1 species
UUGAACGCUGGCGGCAGGCUUAACACAUGCAAGUCGAACGGCAGCACAGGAGAGCUUGCUCUCUGGGUGGCGAGUGGCGGACGGGUGAGGAAUACAUCGGAAUCUACUUUUUCGUGGGGGAUAACGUAGGGAAACUUACGCUAAUACCGCAUACGACCUACGGGUGAAAGCAGGGGACCUUCGGGCCUUGCGCGAUUGAAUGAGCCGAUGUCGGAUUAGCUAGUUGGCGGGGUAAAGGCCCACCAAGGCGACGAUCCGUAGCUGGUCUGAGAGGAUGAUCAGCCACACUGGAACUGAGACACGGUCCAGACUCCUACGGGAGGCAGCAGUGGGGAAUAUUGGACAAUGGGCGCAAGCCUGAUCCAGCCAUACCGCGUGGGUGAAGAAGGCCUUCGGGUUGUAAAGCCCUUUUGUUGGGAAAGAAAUCCAGCCGGCUAAUACCUGGUUGGGAUGACGGUACCCAAAGAAUAAGCACCGGCUAACUUCGUGCCAGCAGCCGCAGUAA